UGUUGAUCGAGCACGGCCAGGGUUCGAACCUGCAAGGUUCGACGCGCGAGGCGCAGCCGAGCCGAACAGCGCCGCUUGCGGCGCUGGCCCGAAGGGCGAGGCCGCAGGCCGAGUAAUCCUGGUCCCCCAGCCA
rnacentral:sRNA from 1 species